UGGCACAUUUUGGCUGAAUCCUCAUGAGGGUCAGAACCAUGUUCCACACCGAUAUAGACAGCUAAAGAAAGUCUCCAGAUAACAAGCCAGCAAUGCAUCAACCCAUGAUGCAGCUGCGGUAGAGAUGAUCUUUAUGUCAAAAGCUGCUUGAUGCAGCCAGAAUAUUGGCUACAAACCAGUCAUAUAGGAAAUGGACUCAUGUUGCCUCAUUGAUUAUUUUCUAAACAGUGGCAAUUUUAAGGCCUCUCGAUAAUAGCUUUGCUGUUGAACCUAAACAAGAAAAAAUUGAUGAUUUCUGGAAUUAUUACGCAUAGAAGAUGAAAAAGAAAUUAAUAUGCAUCACAUCCAGCCGGCAUCCAGCAAUGUUGAUAAUGGCUAACAUGCUCUGAGAACUCACUAUGAGUGUGCAGUACACAUUUUACAUGUCAUUUCCAAUUCAACCCUCACGAUAAUCCUAUGGAAUUAUCAAACUAUUAUCACCUGGAACAAUUUAU
rnacentral:lncRNA from 1 species